AAGUAGCUCAGCGGGUAGAGCAUCAGGCUAAUAACCUGACGGUCACGGGUUCGACUCCCGUCGAUGCACCAA
rnacentral:tRNA from 1 species